GGACCCCAGGUAGAGUAGCUGCUACAUGUUAAUGGGCCCCAGGUAGAGUAGCUGCUACAUGUUAAUGGACCCCAGGUAGAGUAGCUGCUACAUGUUAAUGGACCCCAGGUAGAGUAGCUGCUACAUGUUAAUGGACCCCAGGUAGAGUAGCUGCUACAUGUUAAUGGACCCCAGGUAGAGUAGCUGCUACAUGUUAAUGGACCCCAGGUAGAGUAGCUGCUACAUGUUCAGUAGUUAAUGGACCCCAGGUAGAGUAGCUGCUACAUGUUAAUGGACCCCAGGUAGAGUAGCUGCUACAUGUUAAUGGACCCCAGGAAGAGUAGCUGCUACAUGUUAAUGGACCCCAGGUAGAGUAGCUGCUACAUGUUAAUGGACCCCAGGUAGAGUAGCUGCUACAUGUUAAUGGACCCCAGGUAGAGUAGCUGCUACAUGUUAAUGGACCCCAGGUAGAGUAGCUGCUACAUGUUAAUGAACCCCAGGUAGAGUAGCUGCUACAUGUUAAUGGACCCCAGGUAGAGUAGCUGCUACAUGUUAAUGAACCCCAGGUAGAGUAGCUGCUACAUGUUAAUGGACCCCAGGUAGAGUAGCUGCUACAUGUUAAUGGACCCCAGGUAGAGUAGCUGCUACAUGUUAAUGGACCCCAGGUAGAGUAGCUGCUACAUGUUAAUGGACCCCAGGUAGAGUAGCUGCUACAUGUUAAUGGACCCCAGGUAGAGUAGCUGCUACAUGUUCAGUAGUUAAUGGACCCCAGGUAGAGUAGCUGCUACAUGUUAAUGGACCCCAGGUAGAGUAGCUGCUACAUGUUAAUGGACCCCAGGUAGAGUAGCUGCUACAUGUUAAUGGACCCCAGGUAGAGUAGCUGCUACAUGUUAAUGGACCCCAGGUAGAGUAGCUGCUACAUGUUCAGUAGUUAAUGGACCCCAGGUAGAGUAGCUGCUACAUGUUCAGUAGUUAAUGGACCCCAGGUAGAGUAGCUGCUACAUGUUAAUGGACCCCAGGUAGAGUAGCUGCUACAUGUUCAGUAGUUAAUGGACCCCAGGUAGAGUAGCUGCUACAUGUUCAGUAGUUAAUGGACCCCAGGUAGAGUAGCUGCUACAUGUUCAGUAGUUAAUGGACCCCAGGUAGAG